rfam:Oryza glaberrima chromosome 10 Oglab10_unplaced018_2, whole genome shotgun sequence.
AAUAAAUACAGUUUUACAUUGUUCAUGUCUAAUGUUUGACCGUUCGUCUUAUUUGAAAAAAUUUUGUAAUUAGUAUUUUUUUAGUUAUUAGAUAAUAAAACAUGAAUAGUACUUUAUGUGUGACUAUUUUUUUUAUAAAUUUUUUAAAUAAGACAGACGGUCAAACGUUAGAUACGGAUAUCAGCUGCACUUAUU